rnacentral:rRNA from 1 species
GAUGAACGCUAGCUACAGGCUUAACACAUGCAAGUCGAGGGGAAACGAUGAGAGAGCUUGCUCUCUUAGUCGUCGACCGGCGCACGGGUGAGUAACGCGUAUCCAACCUGCCUCUGACCAAGGGAUAACCCGUCGAAAGUCGGACUAAUACCUUAUGCAGUCGUCGGAAGUCAUCUGAUGACGACGAAAGAUUUCAUCGGUGAGAGAUGGGGAUGCGUCUGAUUAGCUUGUUGGCGGGGUAACGGCCCACCAAGGCGACGAUCAGUAGGGGUUCUGAGAGGAAGGUCCCCCACAUUGGAACUGAGACACGGUCCAAACUCCUACGGGAGGCAGCAGUGAGGAAUAUUGGUCAAUGGGCGUAAGCCUGAACCAGCCAAGUAGCGUGCAGGAUGACGGCCCUAUGGGUUGUAAACUGCUUUUAUGCGGGGAUAAAGUGAGGGACGUGUCCUUCAUUGCAGGUACCGCAUGAAUAAGGACCGGCCAAUUCCGUG